UACGUAGGUGGCAAGCGUUGUCCGGAUUUACUGGGCGUAAAGGGUAUGCAGGCGGGUUUUUAAGUAGAAAGUGAAAGGUUGGAGCUCAACUCCGACACUGCUUUCUAUACUGGGAGCCUUGAGUGCCGGAGAGGAAGAGGGAACUGCACGUGUAGCGGUGAUAUGCGUUGAGAUGUGCAGGAACACCAAUGGCGAAAGCACUCUUCUGGACGGCCACUGACGCUGAGAUACGAAAGCCAAGGGAGCGAACAGG
rnacentral:rRNA from 1 species